rfam:Canis lupus familiaris chromosome 26, whole genome shotgun sequence.
GCCUGGGUGGCUCAGUGGUUGAGUGUCUGCCUUCAGCUCAGGGGUCCUGGGAUCAAGUCCCACAUCGGGCU